AUUUUGUAGAAAUUCAUUGUUCAGUGACUUUUUUAUUAACUAAUUUCUAUUGGUUUUUUCUUUAAACCCAGUGAGACAUUUUUAUAAAUUACAGGUCUUAGUGCUAAAAUCUGUUCCCCUGCAACUUUUCCCAGGCGAGUCGAUAUUCAUGCGACGACUGGCUUGUUAGAUACGUAGAUACGUGUAUCUUGAGGCCGAUUGGGAAGGUUUUCUGUCAGCAAAAUGGUUAAAUGUCACGUACCCUAUUGUGAUAGUAAGGUCCGAAAUAUUUCUAAGAAAUCGUGCGAGGAUUCAUCGAUUGAAUCAGAAUUCGUUUCUUUCCAUCGUUUUCCAUCCAAUACUAAAUUAAAAAGAAAGUGGCUUAAGUUUCUUGGGCAAGAUUUUUCUAUUGACACCAAAAAUAUAUUUAUUUGUUCGCGUCAUUUUGAUCCAAACUCAUUUAAUCCGUUGAAUGAAACGCGACCACGGUUAAAUGCAGAUGCUAUUCCAUCUAUACGUGUGCCCUACAAGAAUCCGCAUCCAAAUCGGAAAAGAAGGAGUAAAGUGGAAAUAUCCCCGGUGGAAUCGACUACUGACGCGGAAUGUGCUAUCGAUGUGAAUUAUUUUCCUGCUGCACCAACAGAAAGCGAUCCUCUACAGAUACCAGUUUGUUUAUCCUUGAUUGACUCAGUUCAGCUCCUUGAAGCAGAUAACCAGGACCUGCAAUGCCAGUUGCAAGUAAAAACCGCCACCAUUAGCUCACUACAGGCGCAAAAUGGUGAACUAUUAUCUAAGGUAGGGGAACUGAGCAAACAACUUCGGGAUUUGCGAAAAGUACACUAUCUACAGAUGAUCGGAAAAACCGUCUCAUCAUUAUCAUCUACAAACCAUGUUAAGUUAAAGCUCGACCAGAGCAAAGAUACCGACGGAGAAGAAAAAUAUAACAUGAUUUUGUAAAUUGAUAGCAAAUAAAU